GAUGAACGCUGGCGGCGUGCCUAAUACAUGCAAGUCGAGCGAACGGACGAUAAGCUUGCUUCUCUGAUGUUAGCGGCGGACGGGCGAGUAACACGUGGAUAACCUACCUAUAAGACUGGGAUAAUUUCGGGAAACCGGAUCUAAUACCGGAUAAUAUUUUGAACCGCAUGGUUCAAAAGUAAAAGACGGUCUUGCUGUCACUUAUAGAUGGAUCCGCGCUGCAUUAGCUAGUUGGUAAGGUAACGGCUUACCAAGGCAACGAUGCAUAGCCGACCUGAGAGGGUGAUCAGCCACACUGGAACUGAGACACGGUCCAGACUCCUACGGGAGGCAGCAGUAGGGAAUAUUCCGCAAUGGGCGAAAGCCUGACGGAGCAACGCCGCGUGAGUGAUGAAGGUCUUCGGAUCGUAAAGCUCUGUUAUUAGGAAAGAACAUAUGUGUAAGUAACUGUGCACAUCUUGACGGUACCUAAUGAGAAAGCCACGGCUAACUACGUG
rnacentral:rRNA from 1 species